GAGACACCCCUAUGGACCAGGACUUGCUUCAGUGGGACUUUUAUGCUUACUGUGUCUGCCCCCUGAGUGUGUCACU
rnacentral:pre_miRNA from 1 species